GUCCACGCCGUAAACGAUGGUUACUAGCUGUUUGGACUUCGGUCUGAGUGGCUAAGCGAAAGUGAUAAGUAACCCACCUGGGGAGUACGUUCGCAAGAAUGAAACUCAAAGGAAUUGACGGGGGCCCGCACAAGCGGUGGAGCAUGUGGUUUAAUUCGAUGAUACGCGAGGAACCUUACCAGGGCUUAAAUGUAGAUUGACAGGUUUAGAGAUAGACUUUUCUUCGGACAAUUUACAAGGUGCUGCAUGGUU
rnacentral:rRNA from 1 species